rnacentral:misc_RNA from 1 species
AAUGUAUUCUCGGUAAAAGUCGGAUAAUCGACGGUAACGUCGUCAAAUUUUCAGGGGGGAAAAAUGCCGACUCCUUCGACGACGAUGGAGCUGGAAAAAUUUGUUCACGUCGGCGGACGCUCUCCGGUGGUUCUUACACAUCGCUAGUCGUAGAUCAGCCUCCCACACCAUCAAGGAGAGGCUCGGAGGGAGCAGUUACGGAGCUUCGAGAGCGAGGGAGGCCCCACUUCGGGGAUAGAGGACGAGAGCAACAAGUUGCCCGAAGGCAACCUGUCCUUGUGUUAUCACGCCAGCUUUUACGUAGAAAUUUCCACGAAAGGAUGAGAUUCGAAGAAAAGAGGUGAGUGGGGAUGAGGAGAAAUGGUGCGGUGCAAGACGUUGUUUCACUUUUUCUUUUCUUCGUUUGAGGAAAAAGAAAUGCGGCUCACGUAAAAGAGUCCGAAAAAUAAGUUGGAAGAACUUACCCCUCGUGCAGCAGAAUCUCCACUAACCGCACUCGCAUCGCUUCCGUUUCGUUCUUGACGAACGUAGGAAAGACUUUGCUGGACUUGAGAUUUACCGAUAAAAUUUCUCGACGUGCUUUGAGACGGGGGCGAAGACGACGACGACGAUGAGAAUGAUGUUUUUGGGUUCUCGGCACCUACGCCAUUAUCUGCAGAAAGUCUAAGUCCCGAAUUUUCGGAACUCUUGGAAACGUUAACCUCCUGCAUCACAGUCUAUCUGAUAUCUG